GUGAAGUGAUGAUGGCAAAGAGGUCACACCCGUUCCCAUACCGAACACGGAAGUUAAGCUCUUGUCGGCGGUUCGAGCCCGUCAUCCUCCACC
rnacentral:rRNA from 1 species